GCUGGUGUAGCUCAGCGGUAGAGCAGCGCACUCGUAAUGCGCAGGUCGUCGGUUCGAAUCCGACCACCAGCUCCA
rnacentral:tRNA from 2 species